rnacentral:lncRNA from 1 species
GAUUCUUCGGCGCAUCGUCCUUUCCUGCAGCCUAUUGCCCAAUCGGCCAGUUGACUCUGCAACUCCGAUAUCCUUGGCACAAUACCCGCUCUUCUUGGCCCGAUGCCCGAGUCCACGGCCCGAAGCCUUCUGUCGAUACGUCGACUGAUCCACCGGCCCGACGUCCAAUCUUCUGACAUGUUCCUCCGGCACAACAUGAU